rnacentral:rRNA from 1 species
CGGGAAUAUUGGACAAUGGGGGCAACCCUGAUCCAGCAAUACCGCGUGUGUGAAGAAGGCCUGCGGGUUGUAAAGCACUUUUAGUGGGGAAGAUAAUGACGUUACCCACAGAAAAAGCACCGGCUAACUCCGUGCCAGCAGCCGCGGUAAUACGGAGGGUGCAAGCGUUAAUCGGAAUUACUGGGCGUAAAGCGUGCGUAGGCGGCUCUUUAAGUCGGAUGUGAAAUCCCCGGGCUCACCCUGGGAACUGCAUCCGAUACUGGGGAGCUAGAAUGUGGGAGAGGGAAGUGGAAUUUCCGGUGUAGCGGUGAAAUGCAUAGAGAUCGGAAGGAACAUCAGUGGCGAAGGCGACUACCUGGACCAGCACUGACACUGAGGCACGAAAGCGUGGGGAGCAAAC